rnacentral:rRNA from 3 species
AUGCAUGUCUAAGUACAGACUUUUACAUAGUGAAACCGCGAAUGGCUCAUUAAAUCAGUUAUGGUUCCUUAGAUCGUUCAAUCCUACUUGGAUAACUGUGGCAAUUCUAGAGCUAAUACAUGAAGAACAGCUCCGACCUUCGGGGAAGAGCGCUUUUAUUAGAUCAAGACCAAUACGGGCCUCCGGUCCGUUCCGUUGGUGACUCUGGAUAACUUUGUGCUGAUCGCACGGCCUCGCGCCGGCGACGUAUCUUUCAAAUGUCUGCCCUAUCAACUGUCGAUGGUACGUGCUAUGCCUACCAUGGUUUUUACGGGUAACGGAGAAUCAGGGUUCGAUUCCGGAGAGGGAGCAUGAGAAACGGCUACCACA